CUACGGGGCGCACCAGUGGGGAAUCUUAGGCAAUGGGCGCAAGCCUGAUCUAGCCAUGCCGCGUGAGUGACGAAGGCCUUAGGGUCGUAAAGCUCUUUCGCUGGGGAAGAUAAUGACGGUACCCAGUAAAGAAACCCCGGCUAACUCCGUGCCAGCAGCCGCGGUAAUACGGAGGGGGUUAGCGUUGUUCGGAAUUACUGGGCGUAAAGCGCGCGUAGGCGGAUCAGAAAGUUGGGGGUGAAAUCCCGGGGCUCAACCCCGGAACUGCCUUCAAAACUCCUGGUCUUGAGUUCGAGAGAGGUGAGUGGAAUUCCGAGUGUAGAGGUGAAAUUCGUAGAUAUUCGGAGGAACACCAGUGGCGAAGGCGGCUCACUGGCUCGAUACUGACGCUGAGGUGCGAAAGCGUGGGGAGCAAACAGGAUUAGAUACCCUUGUAGUC
rnacentral:rRNA from 1 species